GGCAGAGUGGAGUUUCUAGCUUAGGGAAGGUAAUUCAUAUCAUUGGCUCUGUGAAAAGGACUGGAUAGACAGAUCUGCCCAGGAAGUCACUUGGGGGUGGGGUGAGGUGGAAAGGGCUUUCCAGGAAGUAGAAACAGGCAGCAUGAAGGCAGGAGUUGGAGGGUAUUUGGCUGUGGCCCAGAACCACCAAGAGUGGGAAAAUAGCCCUCAGGUCUUACCAAAGUUUCUGGAUCCGGACAGUGGCUCGCUCCCUGGAGCAGGAUUCGAAUUGUACUUCAGGUGCAGGCUCUGAAAUCUAUUCGCCCUCCGUUCCCUGCCGCUGCUGCUGCCCAUGGAAGUCCGGGCCUGGCCGGUUCUCUUCUGUUUCGUUUUCCCGGCGGACUCCGCCUUCCCACACUGCUCUGGGCCCCUCCCGCACCGGCUCGCACCCGCGAGAAGUCAGGUAGGCGUGUCGCCUCUGUACCCCAGCGCGGGAGCCAAGGUCCGGGCCCGCCUCCCCUCUCCUGUGCAACUGCAGUAACUGCCAGCUUCUCCAGGUUUCGGACACUUCCUGGCUUCCAUUCUGGGAAAGCUCUGCAGGAAGAAGAAGGAGAAACCCAAGCCUCCUGCUCCUGGAUCAAUGAUCACAAUCUACUUUUCAAAACAAACUUUGAGGAAGCAACUGGGCACAUGGAUGCUACCGAAUUCCGAUGUGCAGUGGGAGAUACUGAGUAACUCGCCUCUCAGAGGGUCCAGCCAAGCUAUGUCUGUGACAAUUGAAGUCCAGGUUUGUAAACGUUAGUCUCCUUCCCCUUUCACACUGCCAUGCCAAGGAGGACAUAGCCAUCUUGACAACAUUGGCCAGAGGGUUGAAGAAUUCUCUCUUAAAUCUAUUUGUCCAGCCCUCAGCAGUUACCUGCUAGCCCCUUGUUGCAUAUCACUCACCAGGCCAGGCCCCUGUUAAGAUCCACCUGCUCCCAGAAAGGCCACAAGGAAUGUUUUAUCACAAGGCCAACACCAGCAGUCCCUGCUUAAUAAGGAACCUUGCCUGAGCUGGAGAGAUGGCUCAGCAGGUAAAAGCACUGACUGCUCUUCCAGAGGUCCUGAGUUCAAUUCCCAGCAACCACAUGGUGGCUCACAACCAUCUGUAAUGGGAUCCGAUGCCCUCUUCUGGUGUGUCUGAAGACAGCUAUAGUGAACUCGUAUACGGGUUAAAACAAAAUUAAAAAAAAAAAAAGAAAAGAAAAGCAAUCCUACCUUCCUGUAAGACUGUAACACACUCCCAUAAUGGAACUUGCUGGCCCAGGACUUGAGGGUUUAGCUUGUGGCACACUGCCCAGUGACACAUCUUCAUGCCUGCACUCUGAGCUGAGCACCAUCCCUAUGAGGAGAACUCAGGAGCUAGAAUUAGAACCGGGAAAUUGUACUCCCAACAUGGCAACUGGUGAGAGAUGGAAAAGUCCCAAGACAGAGCCCCCAAUUUCACAGUCAACAUUGCUGUGCCCACUCCUUUCUUCUUCCUUUCCUGUAAGGUAGGAGAACAACAGCCUAACUUUUCUUGUAGCGUGGAUCCUGGGUGUAAUUUGAGGUCUCUAAUGUGAAAAGCCCGUGACCAGAUCAGCCUCGAUAAACUCCCGCUCCCUACUAUAGCACCUUAAAUGAACACCCGACUACCUAGGGAGAAGCUGACAGCGAGAUCUCUGCAGACAUUUCUCUACUGAACAUUCACAAUGGAUGCCAUUCUGCUCACUCUACCUAUUCCAUUCUAGGUGGUUUACUCUUGGCAUUUCCAAAGACCCAUGAUCACCAUAAUUUCUUCGGGGUCUUGGAACAUCUAGCUGAAGUGUUAGCCACUGAAAGGGGUGCCUCUGGAUCUUUCUGGAGGCGAAUGGUUAGGGAGCAAGUGUGCAAGUGAUGUACACCCAAUCUUAUCAACUCCCAAUAUUCUCCACGAGUUGGUGAGUGUUUUGUUUUGAGAUUGGCAUGUAGUAUAGACUGGCUUCAAAUUUGUCGUGAAGCUAAAAGUGACCGUGAACUUCCAGUUUUCCUGUGUUCACCUCCAAGAUCCAUACCACAAUGCCUAGUCACUGUAGUGUUGGGGAAGAGACCAUGGGAAGCAGACACUACCAGCUGAGCAAGCCAGCAGGUGUGUUCCUGUUGCUUUGCUUGAUGGUUGGAGUCAAGGUCUGAUUGAAGCCCUAAGUGAUCUAGAACUUUUAAAGCUCGGCUGACUUCACACUUGUAGCAAGCCUCCUGCCUCUUCCUCCUAAGUGGUAGGAUGACUGAGACGCUACAGAUAGGUCAAUCUUUCUAGAAUGUUCUCUACAUCCUCCUGUUAGUUUCACGUGACUGCUUAUGACCCUGCAACAGAAAAAUCUGUAUGGUACAAAAACAGACAGCUUAGCUUUGCCUCAACGAUGGUGUUAAGUAGAAGUAUAAUGUCAUGUCUCUUGAGGGAAGCACCUCUAGAGGCCUGCAUGCAUGGAGUACCCAGAGUAGACGAAGAGGGAUUUAUCCUGAAGCAACUUGCAGUUUGUCAACCUUAAAUCAGUGCAGAGUCAGGCUUGAAUUUCACCCACCAGGAAGUCUGAGAAAACUACUACAAAUACUUGGACCGAUAGUGAGAAGUUUCCUACUGAGAAAAGCUUGAGAAAAUGCAAAUACAGCAUUUGGAAGCCCAUUUUGGUCUGUGUUUGACUCUAGAACAACACACUGACAGCAAUGUUCCAAUUCUUCAAAAGAAAGACAAACUUUAAUUUGAGCUCAAAUAUGUCAGCUCUUACCACCAUUCCUAGAUCCACACUAUUCAUAAUCAUGUUACAUGAUUAUUGUCACGCGACUGUUUGACUGCACUACUAUCUAAUUUUAUAAAUCCAGUUAUUCUGAGGGAACAGAAGCUCUGUAAGCCAGCCAGCUUGGCCAGAGUUAAGCCAGGCAAUAUGCUUCAUACUUCAGCUUGUCUCCGAGGGACGUGCCUGCCAAACACUCUUUGAAUCUCUCAUCCAUUUCCUGGUUCUGGGUUUCGUUGAACAAACGUUUCCAAUCACCAACCUCACCUACAACACAGAAAGCACAAAAGACUUAGAUAUAAUGUUAGGGUAUUUCUUAAUUUUAUCCUCUGUUCUGCCCAAAUUUACCUUUUUGUUUAAUGCAGUGUUUUCCUUUGAAAGGUCUAAAACGGCAACAAUGUAGUUGUGGUGGCUUGAAUAAGAAUGGCUGCAAUAGGCUCAUAUAUUUGAGUGCUUAGGGAGUGGCACUAUUUGAGAAGAUUAGAAGGUGUGGCCUUGUGGAAGUGGGUGUGGCAUUAUUGGAGGAAAUGUGUCACUGAGUAGCUGCUUUGACGUUUCAGAAGGCCAAGCCAAGCCCAGUGGCUCACAGUCUCUUCCUGCUGCCUUAGAUCUGGAUGUAAAAUUCUCAACUGCCAUAUCUGCCUGUGAGAGGUCAUGCUUCCUGCUAUCCUGAUAAUAUACGAACCCUCUGAAACUGUCUUCAUAUAAUAUGAACUUAACAUUUUCAUCAUCAAUAUGUUUGUUCCAAUUAAUUGCAAAAUCAAAGUAACUUCCCCAAGAAACUAAAAAGCACAGGAGAAAAAAAAAGUAAGACACUGUUCAUAACUGAGGAAAACAGAUAUCACACAUAUGGGUAAAUGAUCAAGAGAGGUUGUGUGUAUUACAAGUCUGUCUCCAGGAGGUGGAAUACACCUGCCUCACUGUCCAUACCCACCCGUGUCUUACUUCCUCGAACAUUUGCCAUUAGUGAUACAACUGAGCAAGCUCUAAGAUUCCUCAGAGAUAACGCAAUAACUCAGAAAGAGGGAACAGGCCUGAGCUUCCUUUCUGUUGUUGUGAUAGAAUAUUCUGACGCAAGCAACUUCAGCAGAGAGUUUGCUUCACUUUGCAAUUCAAGAUCACGUCCACCCUUGUGGGGAAGUCAUCAUGGCAGGAGCUUGGUCGGCCAAUCGUGGUGUCCCUAAUGUCUUCGUUUGCCUCUGUGUGUUGGAUUUCGGAAUUUUGCAAGGAAAAAAAUCCUGUCCAAGUUAUGACUGUCACAUCUUGUUGCUUAUCAACUGAGCAGAAAGAAUGAACGCAGAGGAUGGAGAGGAUUCUUCAUGUUGUCCCACAAGUCACAAAAAUCAUCACUGAAUGUUCCCUUGAGGUAUUGUAUAUGUAUGGAGUGGUGUCACAUAUGUAUGGAGUGGUGUCACAUAUGUAUGGAGCAGUGUUACAUAUGUAUGGAGCAGUGUUACAUAUGUAUGGAGCAGUGUUAUAUAUGUAUGGAAUGGUGUCACAUAUGUAUGGAAUGGUGUCACAUAUGUAUGGAGCGGUGUCACAUAUGUAUGGAGUGGUGUCACAUAUGUAUGGAAUGGUGUCACAUAUGUAUGGAGCGGUGUCACAUAUGUAUGGAGCGGUGUCACAUAUGUAUGGAGCGGUGCCACAUAUGUAUGGAGCGGCGUUACAGAUUUGCCCUGCCUGACUCUACAAAGUGUUUCUAGACAACAGAAGCAGGCUGACUGGUGCUGUACAGUAAUGCAUCUCCUUGUGAGCUUUCCUUGCUGCUAUGACUCGAUCCAAUAUUUAUCUUUUCCAGGGAGCUGGUACCGUAUGUAGUGUCCAUGUACUCGGAAUGCUGUGGGAUUUGCUAUAUCAAAUACCCUUUAGACUGGCCUUCACAGAUUGUGGUAUAUAGAUAGAACAUGGAAUAUUCAAAUAGUGAUGCUGGCAUCCAUGGCAUAAAUGAAUUGGGAGGCAUCAUGUAGGCAAAUAUAUGGCAGAAAGCAAAAUAUUGGUCUCAUCUACAUGUUGGAUCUUUUUAAAGGUUGAGUAACACAGAAAGCAGGAUGGUGCCAGGGAUGCGAAGGAAGGCAAUUACAACUCUGAUGUAACUUUGGAGCGCUGAGUUGUGAAUAAGUCUAGUAAGCUAAUGUACAGCCUAAGGAUUAGAGUUAUGAAUCCAGUGUUGCAUAAUGAAGUAGUGUUUGCUAAGGGACCAGCAAACAUAUACUACUCUUUCUCUAUACACAACAAAGCAGCUGUGUGACAUGAUGGCUUGACUUCAGUAGUCAUUUCACAUGUGUAUGUGUAGCAAAACACAGUGUCCAUGUUAAACAUCAUUUUAAUAAAUAGAUUGAGAGAA